UAGACAGUUGAUGCUGGCAAGACCAAGACC
rnacentral:piRNA from 1 species